rnacentral:sRNA from 1 species
UAGGAAUGUCAGGCACUCUUGCCUUAGCCGCUGUAGGACUGAAUUUAGAUUCUUUAACUUUUAAACCGAAGAUCGAACUUGUAAUUACUAAGUUCUUAAGAAUUUUUUCAUCUGUAUAUGAACAUUUAAUAUAUGCUUUCUUUGGCAUUGUGAUUGGAUGUGGAGAACUCAGCCAUUAUGAAUUUUACACUAUACCUUUCAUAUUCAUUUUAUUUACAACAGUGAAUUUGGUAAGGCACUUAGGACACCUCAGUGGACAAAAUAGUCUGAAAACAUGAAAAUUUCUGCCAUCAUGGAGUUUACAAUGUAAUUGGGGUUUUCAGAAAAAAAAACAAAAUCAUGUUAAAUAAAGAAUGUAAUAUAUUAGAAAAUAAUAAAGACUAUGAAAAUAAAUAAAGCAUGGUGAGGAAGUUGGAUGUGCCAGCACUAGAUGGCAAGCUGCAAUUCAAACCCAGUGGGCAGGGUUGCUUACUAUUUUGUUAGUGAGCCCUAUUUUGAUGCAUUCAAGUUAUGAAUAUAAUUGGCGUUGGGGAGUUGUAAUCACGUGGUCUGGAAUUAAAGGAGUUUUAAAUUUACUCUGGGCUCCUGAUGUUUAUAAUCUCGCUGAACGAAAAGUGGAAGUACCGCAAAUGAUUUGUGUGUUCUUUCCCUCCCAAGACAAAUGACCUUGCAAAAUGCCACUCAGCACAUACAGGAGAUAGUACAGAACACAAUAACUUUGUUUAAAACAGAAAAAAUUUUGACAAAUGUUAACUGGACCUUAGUAGAAGAUAAAACGAGGAUCGAAUACAUUCCUUUUUCCCACGUUUCACAUGACGGUAUGAAGACAGAAUCCACAACAGAUGAAGCUUUAAUGGAAGAAGCCAGAUUGCAUGUAGCUGCAAUACAAAUGAGUAGCUUUGAAAAACAGCGUAACAAUGGAAUUCUUGAAAUAGAGGCAGCCCGGAUAUUAAUUGGUGCAGCAAAAUGCUAUUACUCCAUCCAAGGAAAAUUCAUGAGUAUUUAUGAUGUUUCAACUUAUAUGAAAACUAGAAGUUGGCUUAUAAAGUUUAAAAGUGUUUUAACUUUCUUGGAAUAUUGUAUAGAAAAGAUACAUUUUAUUCCACCUGAGAGUAAUGCAUUUCUGACUUUUAUAUUUCACACAGUAUUUUCUGAAGAAUUUGAAUAUACAGGACAGAUUAUAAAUUUGAUAUAUAUUUAUCCUAUGAUAAUACAUCUGUGGCCAAUGGCAGGAGAUUUAAAUGUGUCAGCACUGAUAUCAAUAAACUACUAUUUUAUGUUUUUAUAUGUAUUAGAAUCAACAUUGAAGAUAAUAAUUUUGAAAAGGAAAUAUUUUCAACAAUGUUGGAAUACUUUGGAAUUUUUUAUCCUGGUUAUUGGAAUCAUUGAUAUCUUUUGUGUAUACUUUGUGAAAUUGAGACCAGACAACUUGGCUUUUAUUCAGCUUACAGUAAUAAUGGGAUAUUUAAGAAUAAUUAGGUUUCUUCCUCUCUUCAAGAUAAUAGUACCAAUACUGAUAAGAAUUGCAGAUGUGCAGAUCAAAAAGUACCUCAGCUUGAUGUAUAGUAUUACAAAAGGCUAUAUCAAAAGUCAUGAAGAUGCCAAACUUCUAAUAAAACAAAUAGCUGUCUGUGAAUCAAUAUAUCAGAAACUGUGUGAAAUUUUGGAAACCAACAAACAGGAUGCUGUUGAAGAAUUAGUACUCAUGGAGCAUGAGAGUCGUGAUGUUGUCAUUGCUUUGAAGACUAAACAGGCCAUCCGGAAUGUGAUCGCUAAAGCUCUAAAAAAUCUCACCUUCCUUUGUUCAAGAGGCGUUAUUGAUAAGCAUGAAGUCAUUGAGAUAAAUAAGGUACUUCUUAAAAAAUUAAAAGCACUAAAUAACUUUCCAAAGGCAAUCCCACCGCCAACUCCUGACACAUACCUUCACAACAUCAUUUGGCUGGAAGGUAAAGAUGUUCUCAUUGACUUCUUCAAGGAGAGAGCCAAACUUGCCUGUUUUGACUCUGGAGAUAUCAUUUGUAAAGGAGGUGAAAUGCCACGAGGAAUCUACUUAAUUAUUUCAGGAAUGGCAAUUUUGCAUAGUUUAUCUCCUACCUUUGGAAUAGAGAGUAGCCAAAGGCCUGAUAGAGGGUCCAGAGUCGUGUUUACAGAGUUCUGUACUACUGGGGACAUAAUUGGAGAGCUAAGCUGUCUGCUUAAGCGUGAAAUUGAAUAUACCAUCAUCUGUGAAACUAGUUUACAGGCCUGCUUUAUCUCCCUGGAGGAUUUAUAUGAAGGCUUCGAUGCCUUCUGGCCAUCUCUGGAAUAUAAAAUAUGGCUAAAGCUUGCUCUCAGUACUGCCUAUCAGUAUUUUGAAUCAAGUCUUAUUGAUGAGGACUUAAGGUUUCAGAAGUGUGUGAUGUUCAAUCAAGCAUAUGUGGAAACUUUAUCAAGCUAUAGUGACAUGACUAUUGAUAAUAUGACCAUGAAAUUUGUUAUCAUUGUGUAUGGCAGUGUAAUUGAUACUAAGACAGAGGAACCAUAUUUUGCACCUUGCAUUAUACCUACAACCUGUGAGCAGGUUCAGGGAACUUCUGAUUUAAGCAAGCUGCUGAUAAUCCAAGCAUCUGAGCUUACCCAAAGAAAUAGUAACACCAAUGUCAUGGCCUCAGUCAACACUGGUCUUUGAACAACCAGGAAAGAAUAUAAAUGGAAGACAAAAGAUGAGUUGAAAACUGGAUACCAUUUUAGAAAAGGGUAUUAAUGAUACAAAUAUGAUGUGUGGAGUCAGGUUAAAGACCAAGCUACUUUCCUCACCCAAAUACUAAAGGAUUAUCUGCAAGGAGUUUACUUAGAAGCUACUGAAACAGGUUACUGCUGCAUUUAGUUUAUAAGCAAUGGAUGGACUGCUGUAAAAAUUCUUAAUUUUAAGUAGUUGCAUUAUAUUUGAGAUGUUAAAAAAGUCUUCAGGAUAAUAUAAAAGACACUGAAACAUAUGUCCUACCAAAUGAAACCCUGUUUCCAGCUUAGAGCAAAUUUUAACAUAGUACAUUAUAAAAAGUGUUGUAUAACUGAUAUGUUACUGUCUAAAGCAUAGAACCUGUAAUUUUCAUUUGUGAAAUUGUUAUAAUUAGUGCCUCCCUAAUAUUUUCCAGAGUAUAGCUAUUCUCCCCUUCCCAGUUUGGUAAAUAUUGAAAAACAGAAUUAUAUUCCACAAUCUUAGUAACUUUCAGUAAGUAAGUAAUUUUUGCUUUCAGUGAAAUUUAGGAGAAAUUAAUAUUCUCAUAUUGCACAGUACUGUUUGAUGUCACCUUUCAUUUUAUUUUUAAAAAUCAAAUAAAGUUGAGUUUUAUGGU